UACGUAGGGGGCUAGCGUUGUCCGGAAUCAUUGGGCGUAAAGAGCGUGUAGGCGGCCCGGUAAGUCCGCUGUGAAAGUCGGGGGCUCAACCCUCGAAUGCCGGUGGAUACUGUCGGGCUAGAGUGCGGAAGAGGCGAGUGGAAUUCCUGGUGUAGCGGUGAAAUGCGCAGAUAUCAGGAGGAACACCUAUUGCGAAGGCAGCUCGCUGGGACGUUACUGACGCUGAGACGCGAAAGCGUGGGGAGCAAACAGG
rnacentral:rRNA from 1 species